UGCAGUCGACGAUGAACCUCCUUCGGGAGGGGAUUAGUGGCGAACGGGUGAGUAACACGUGGGCAAUCUGCCCUGCACUCUGGGACAAGCCCUGGAAACGGGGUCUAAUACCGGAUACGACUCGGGAGGGCAUCCUUCCGGGUGGAAAGCUCCGGCGGUGCAGGAUGAGCCCGCGGCCUAUCAGCUUGUUGGUGGGGUGAUGGCCUACCAAGGCGACGACGGGUAGCCGGCCUGAGAGGGCGACCGGCCACACUGGGACUGAGACACGGCCCAGACUCCUACGGGAGGCAGCAGUGGGGAAUAUUGCACAAUGGGCGAAAGCCUGAUGCAGCGACGCCGCGUGAGGGAUGACGGCCUUCGGGUUGUAAACCUCUUUCAGCAGGGAAGAAGCGCAAGUGACGGUACCUGCAGAAGAAGCGCCGGCUAACUACGUGCCAGCAGCCGCGGUAAUACGUAGGGCGCAAGCGUUGUCCGGAAUUAUUGGGCGUAAAGAGCUCGUAGGCGGCUUGUCGCGUCGGAUGUGAAAGCUCGGGGCUUAACCCCGGGUCUGCAUUCGAUACGGGCAGGCUAGAGUGUGGUAGGGGAGAUCGGAAUUCCUGGUGUAGCGGUGAAAUGCGCAGAUAUCAGGAGGAACACCGGUGGCGAAGGCGGAUCUCUGGGCCAUUACUGACGCUGAGGAGCGAAAGCGUGCGGAGCGAACAGGAUUAGAUACCCUGGUAGUCCACGCCGUAAACGUUGGGAACUAGGUGUUGGCGACAUUCCACGUCGUCGGUGCCGC
rnacentral:rRNA from 1 species